UUGGAGGGCAAGUCUGGUGCCAGCAGCCGCGGUAAUUCCAGCUCCAAUAGCGUAUAUUAAAGUUGUUGCAGUUAAAAAGCUCGUAGUUGAACUUCGGGGUCUACCCAUUGGUCAGGCUUAAUUGUCUGUACUGGUGAGAUGGAUCUCUACCUUCUGAGGAACUUUCAUGCCAUUUAUUUGGUGUGAUGGGAAAUCAGGACUGUUACUUUGAAAAAAUUAGAGUGUUUAAAGCAGACUAUCGUCUGAAUACAUUAGCAUGGAAUAAUGAAAUAGGACGGACUGAUUCUAUUUCGUUGGUUUCUAGGAUCACCGUAAUGAUUAAUAGGGAUAGUUGGGGGCAUUAGUAUUCAAUUGUCAGAGGUGAAAUUCCUGGAUUUAUUGAAGACUAACUACUGCGAAAGCAUUUGCCAAGGAUGUUUUCAUUAAUCAAGAACGAAAGUUAGGGGAUCGAAGACGAUCAGAUACCGUCGUAGUCUUAACCAUAAACUAUGCCGACUAGGGAUCGGACGAAGUUAAUUUUAUAAUGACGCGUUCGGCACCUUACGGGAAACCAAAGUGUUUGGGUUC
rnacentral:rRNA from 1 species